GGACUACUGGGGUAUCUAAUCCUGUUUGCUACCCACGCUUUCGCGUCUCAGCGUCAGUAUCUGCCCAGAGAGCCGCCUUCGCCACUGGUGUUCCUCCCGAUAUCUACGAAUUUCACCUCUACACCGGGAAUUCCGCUCUCCUCUUCAGUACUCCAGCUCCGUAGUAUCAAGUGCACUUCCGGGGUUGAGCCCCGGGCUUUCACACCUGACUUGCGAAACCGCCUACACGCGCUUUACGCCCAGUAAUUCCGAGCAACGUUUGCACCCUCUGUCUUACCGCGGCUGCUGGCAC
rnacentral:rRNA from 1 species